rnacentral:rRNA from 1 species
GAUGAACGCUGGCGGCGUGCCUAAUACAUGCAAGUCGAGCGAACAGACGAGGAGCUUGCUCCUUUGACGUUAGCAGCGGACGGGUGAGUAACACGUAGGUAACCUACCUAUAAGACUGGGAUAACUUCGGGAAACCGGAGCUAAUACCGGAUAAUAUUUCGAACCGCAUGGUUCGAUAGUGAAAGAUGGCUUUGCUAUCACUUAUAGAUGGACCUGCGCCGUAUUAGCUAGUUGGUAAGGUAACGGCUUACCAAGGCAACGAUACGUAGCCGACCUGAGAGGGUGAUCGGCCACACUGGAACUGAGACACGGUCCAGACUCCUACGGGAGGCAGCAGUAGGGAAUCUUCCGCAAUGGGCGAAAGCCUGACGGAGCAACGCCGCGUGAGUGAUGAAGGUCUUCGGAUCGUAAAACUCUGUUAUUAGGGAAGAACAAACGUGUAAGUAACUGUGCACGUCUUGACGGUACCUAAUCAGAAAGCCACGGCUAACUACGUG